UUAAUAUCAAAUAAACAUCAUAGACGAACAAAAUAAAAAAUUAGGUCAUCACUGUCCACUUUUCAGCAAUCAGUAGUGCACCCCCGCACUUCCCUUCCCGCCGACCGCCGCGACCAGUCCAGAGAUCAAAUGGAUGACUCGAUGAAGCAAAUACAAGAAAAGCUUAUUGAGGUUGAAAUCGAAGGUGAAAGUCUUCUAUUAGCUCGGCAACAGUUAGUUGAAAAUGAUAGAGUGAGGAAUGGGAACAGGGAAGCAUUAACUGCACUAAGGAGGAGGGCUAAGACGACAAAAAGUAGCAUUCCUACUCCUUUUGACUCAAUAAUGAGGAAUGUUGAAUCAAGACCGUUGGUGAAAGAGAUUUGUUCAACGUGUGGUAAUCAUGAUUCAAAGGAGAAGACUUGGGUCAUGUUCCCAGGAACUGAUGUAUUUGCCAAUAUUCCUUUCCAUGCUGCUCAUACCAUUCUGGAGAAAGAUCAAACUCUACUCGAUUACGAAGCUAAUAAACUUCAGAGCAUUGUAAAGGAGAAGUCUUUAUGGAUAUCAGAUAAAGGAGUUCUUGCUGAUACGGUUAGUCCAGGUGUCCUCAGAUCUAUGGUGACCUUAAGUGACAAACCAAAGACUGCACGGAAUGAAUGAUCAACUUCAGUAAUAAUUGCAUAUGGUGGGUAAAUCCUUGUACUCCCUACCUCUUACACGUGCGCAAGCAUACCUUAAACACCAGCAUCUCUGUAUUAACGGAGUAUCCAUCCACUUGUAGCAUUUGCAUCUGUCAAGAAACAAGUUGUAGUCUGAAGCCUGUGCUAACAGGAACGUAACUGCUGGAUUGUUUCUUCAUUUCGCCAGAUUCCUUUUCGAAAAAGCUGAAGUUAUUGCAGAUUUGGGUGAAGGUAUCAAUGUCAAUCUGGUGUUCAUAGUUGACAAGAUUAUUUGGUGAUCCAUGAUCAAAUUACAAGAAAGGAUAUAAAUUACAUUCUCUUAGUUCUGUUAAUAACAUUUGAAUCAAUCUUGACAGUAACUUAAAUGUGUGUGCCACAGUUGAUUGUAAAAAUGGACCAGUGUGUACUGACUGAUAUUUGAAGGGACCUCCAAUAUUACAUGCGUGGGGAAAAAAAUACGAAUUUCUGAACUGCUUCAGAAAGGGGAGAAUUAUAUUUCUUUUUUAAAGAGGAAGUUCAUUGGUA